GCCCUCGUAGCUCAGCUGGCAGAGCGCGUCUCUCGUAAAGACGAAGUCGGCGGUUCGAAUCCGCCUGAGGGCUC
rnacentral:tRNA from 1 species